rnacentral:rRNA from 1 species
UACGAAGGGGGCGAGCGUUGUUCGGAUUUACUGGGCGUAAAGCGUGCGCAGGCGGUUUUGUAAGUCUGUCGUGAAAUCCCCGGGCUUAACCUGGGAAUUGCGAUGGAGACUGCAAGGCUAGAAUCUGGCAGAGGGGGGUAGAAUUCCACGUGUAGCAGUGAAAUGCGUAGAGAUGUGGAGGAACACCGAUGGCGAAGGCAGCCCCCUGGGUCAAGAUUGACGCUCAUGCACGAAAGCGUGGGGAGCAACAGG